rnacentral:lncRNA from 1 species
GCAAAGUAUCUCUUAACUGCAUCUGAAUUCACAGGACGAGUGAAAUCCUCCCCAUCCAUUGUUGUGAGCAUCAAAGCACCGCCUGAAAAGGCUCUCUUAACAACAUAUGGACCCUACUUAACUGCAUCUGAAUUCACAGGACGAGUGAAAUCCUCCCCAUCCAUUGUUGUGAGCAUCAAAGCACCGCCUGAAAAGGCUCUCUUAACAACAUAUGGACCCUCGUAGUUUG